AGCGCACAUUGCGCCCCUUGGUAUUCCGGGGGGCAUGCCUGUUCGAGCGUCAUUACAACCCUCAAGCUCUGCUUGGUAUUGGGCCUCACCGUCUCCGGUGGGCUUUAAAAUCAGUGGCGGUGCCAUCUGGCUUCAAGCAUAGUAAUACUUCUUGCUUCCGGAGCCCAGGUGGUUACUUGCCAGCAACCCCCAAUUUUUUCAGGUUGACCUCGGAUCAGGUAGGGAUACCCGCUGAACUUAA
rnacentral:misc_RNA from 1 species